rnacentral:rRNA from 1 species
CCUACGGGUGGCAGCAGUGGGGGAUAUCGCACAAUGGGCGAAACCCUGAUCCAGCGACGCCGCGUGGGUGAAGGAGCGUUUCGGCGCGUAAAGCCCUAUCGACAGGGAAGUAGAUGACGGUACCUGACCAAGAUGCCCCGGAUAACUACGGGCCAGCAGCGGCGGUACUACGUCGGGUGCCAGCGUUAUCCGGAUUUACUGGGUGUAAAGGGGGCGCAGAUGGCAAAGCAAGCCAGGAGUGAAAGCCUGGGGCCCAACCCCGGGACUGCUCUUGGAACGGGAUGGCGGGAGUACAGUAGGGGCAGGCGGAAUGCCUAGUGUAGCGGUGAAAUGCGUAGAUAUUAGGAAGAACACCGGUGGCGAAGGCGGCCUGCUGGACUAUGACUGACGUUGAGGCCCGAAGGCGUGGGGAUCAAACAGGAUUAGAUACCCCAGUAGUC